rnacentral:rRNA from 1 species
UACGUAGGGUGCGAGCGUUGUCCGGAAUUAUUGGGCGUAAAGGGCUCGUAGGCGGUUUGUCGCGUCGGGAGUGAAAACUCAGGGCUUAACCCUGAGCCUGCUUCCGAUACGGGCAGACUAGAGGUAUGCAGGGGAGAACGGAAUUCCUGGUGUAGCGGUGAAAUGCGCAGAUAUCAGGAAGAACACCCGUGGCGAAGGCGGCUCUCUGGGACGGUACUGACGCUGAGACGCGAAAGCGUGGGGAGCGAACAGG